GGGUGAUUAGCUCAGUUGGUUAGAGCGCUACCUUCACACGGUAGAGGUCGGAGGUUCGAGUCCUCUAUCACCCACCA
rnacentral:tRNA from 1 species